GGGACUGGCAGAUUAUUGCAAAAGGGCACGGGGCAGAGGGACUAUGUUGUGAGCCUGCGAAAGAAGUUUGUGUGGGGACUGUGGGCAGUGAACGCGUUGGGAACAAUAUGGAAAACUGGGAGCCGCCUUGGAAUCUACAGGGCCGGAGAGACCGAGGGGCUCACUAGGUUGACCAGGCUGGUCUUGAACUCCUGGCCUCAAGCCAUCCUCCCACCUCAGCCUCCCAAAGUGCUGGGAUUACAUGCAUGAGCCACCACAUCCAGCCUACCUAAAAUAUUGAAUGCUGUUAAUAAAUCUCCUGAGGCCAGCAUAAGAAGGUGAUGGGCAAAACUAAUGCAGUAGGAGCUGAAAUCGACCAGGGGGUUCUUAUCCAACAGACAGCAGCAAAACUCUUUGUGUAUCUGCGUUCCUUUCAACAAGUGUGACUUCCUCCAUGGCAUCAUUCGUGAGCGUAACACAGAGCUCAGCAAUAACGUUUCUUCACUAACCCUACCAGGGUUUCAGUUGUGCAAUUUCACCAUUAGCAAAGCUUUUUGCUGAAAUCUGGCUUUUCAAAGGGAGAGUAUCCAGAAACAGAAGAUGCUGCUCUGAGAGGCUCUUCCUAAUAGAACUGCUGCUUCAGUUUAGCUUGAAAAAGCCCACACCCAGUUCCUAAUGACAAACAUCUGAACACCGGGUCUUCCCACGAGCAAGACCAUGCUAUGCCUCCUGCUCGCUCUGUUCUAUAAGCAACCCACAGAUUGCUCCCUGUGAAGAGGAGCCUGCCAGGGGAGCAGCAUUCCACCAGACCCUGAUUUAGCAAGAUAUUUCCGUAUCAUUCCCCCAACCAGCUGGAAGUCCUCCACUGCUCUUGUGUAAAAAUCUAACUCAUCUCGCUGAAUUUCCUGAUUUAAAAGUCUAAUUCAUUUCACCAAAAGUGUGACAGAAGGAAACCAAGUACACCAUCUCUCUCUUACCAAACCGAAGCUAUUGCAUGUGCAUUCUGGGGGAAAAAAUGGUCCAAAUAUGUUAUGGAGGGGGUGCCAGCCCAGUGUCAUCCUCUUACUAUUGCCAUAGGAUCUUGGCUGAUGGCAUCAGAGGAAAAACAAGUUUAUCGAUUACUUUCAACCAUUAAGCUCACUCCUCCAUGAAAAAUAAGUCACAAGUCCAAUGUCUCUUAUUAAAAUAAGCACUGCAAAAUACAAA
rnacentral:lncRNA from 1 species